GGUUGCCGUGGCGACUGGAGGCGCGCGACGCGGGCGCAAUGGCGGGGACCCGGGGCUUGAUGCUGCUUGGGCCUGGCCCAGUGGCGGGUCCUAGGGACGUGGGUACCUGCAGAGGCCGGCAGAUGGAGAUUCAGAAACAUAAGGACAACAAGAAACUUCCCCAAGGUAUCAUUAUAGUCUUUAGACUUCAGACACACACCACACCUCAAAUAUAUACACAACUGAAAGGAAAAUUAAGGAAGUUUUUCAAAGAACCCUAUUCCGAGUAAGAAGUGUGUUGCAUGAAUUUCUAAGGUCAAAGAUGUUGAUUCAUUCAUAGUGUGAGGCCCAGAAAUCGGCAUUUUUAAACAAGUACACUGGACAUUUCUAAAGCUGGCUAAAGUUUGAGAGACACUAUCCAAGGGAAAUUUCUCCGUAACUCUUUUUCUCAGAAGAAAAGUAAACUAAAAGUAAAAAUAAGCAGUACCACUAAGUUUCAAGUGAUCUUCUCCUAAAAGAAGAAAAGGCCUAUAUUCAGGCACAAGAAAAGUAUAUUCUCUUUUAUCCAUGCAGAAAACAGCUAGUGGUUGAAAAUCAACACUUCAGACCUCUUGUCUACAUAAAGCCAACUGCCCCUUUGUUUUACUGAUGUCUUCAAUGAUUUUACUUAGAUUUUUCUACGGCAUUUACUGAAUUAGCUAAGCAGACACAGAUCCAGUCCUUCAUGAAUAUGGUUUGGAGACUCUCUACUGAAUCAGCACUCUUAGCUUCACCGACAUAGUCUCUUGGUAGACCAGAAGGUGUAUCUUAUCUGGAAAGACUGCUAUAUCUACACCCACAAAAAGCAUUAUUUAUCUGAACACUAAAUUCUGACUUCCUUGCCAUUUUAGGGAGCCACUUUAAAACAUUUUCAAUAUUUGCUAUUUUGUAGCAGCAAAUCCUUCAGAAGGAGGUCAAGUGAUGGCCUUUAUCUGUUCCCAGUGUCUUGCCCUUAGGUCCUCAGGGCACCCCCUGGACAGCAGCCUUAGGAACCAGGUACAAAGCACAAGCACUGCUGGUCCGCAUGGUAAGGAAUCACUUCCAGACUGGGCCUUCCCAUGGGCUUCCCUGAGCUUCCUGGACUCAAAUCAUAGUCCUUCUUUUCCUCUCCCCUUUGGACUUGAUAAACGCAGUCCCAUUCAUUUAAUCUCCAACUUAGAAAUCCGGAGAAUGUGAGCCCUGGGAUUUACUUUCAGACACCCUCGUCGAUAACCUUGGCCACUUAGGUUGCUGCAGCCUGUCCCCAGGGAGACAGUUAGAAUGGAACAAUGACACAAACAACACCAACAAUAACAACAGCAGCAGAAGCAGAAGCAACAAUAGUAGAACGAGAAAUAAUUUAUAACAUGCUUACUACAUGCCAGGCACUAAGUGCUUACCCAUAUUAACUCAGUUAAUUCUUAUAACAACCAGAUGAGAUAGAUUUUCUUAUUAUCCCGAUUUUACAAAUGAGCAAACAGAGGCACAAGCAGGUUAAGAAACCUCCCCAAGGUUAAACAGUGAGAAACAGCAAAGAUUUGAACAGUGAGAAACAGCAAAGAUUUGAAACAGCAAAGAUUUGAACCUAUUGUUCGGGAGUCCAUGCUGUUACUCAUUUCUUUAUGCUGCCAUAAUCUAAUAUAAAAUUGAAUAACAAUAAAUGCACCUUAUAUUUGUAUAGCUAUACACACUAAUUUACAUGAUCUUCAUAAGAACUAUGAAAUGGCUGUGAUUAUCCCCAUUUUUAAAAUGAUACUAUAAAGGCAUAAAAUGCUGUAUUUAUGGUAUGCAACCCUUUGGUGAACAACCCUAUAAAUAUUUAAUUACUUAUAUUGAUGUUCUUCCUACGUCUAAGAAAAAUGUUAUUUCCAUUCCCAAGAUGUUAGUAGAGACGAAGAUUUUUCAAUUUGUCUCCUUGAUUUUGUUGGAUUAUAGCAUUAAAGUUAUUUUUACAAAGCCAUCUACGGUAACCCAGUAGAAAGGGUAAGCCUGUUGGCUUAGGAAAACUGAAUGGCAUUCAGUUUCUUCAAAGAAAUUUGGGACAGAUGUGGGUUUUUUUUCUUCUUCUUCUUCAACAAAUCCAGAAGAUGAAAAAUGUAUUUUAUUUCUUGUGAAAUGCAUUUUUCUGUUCAUCUCAGUAUGUGGGACUGUUGAAGUUUAUAAGUUUGGCAGUGUUCUAACAUGGCCAUCCUGUUCUCCUUUAGCAACUUAUUAAAUGUAUUUUUUUUAAUGAAAACAGAACAUAGUGGAAAACUUUUUUCAUCUUUUGACAUUUACUUGUUGGUUAGUGUUUUCUACCAACAAGAUCUCAAACCAGUAUGACAAAACAUCCACAACUCAUUUCCAAAGGCAUUGCAGAUGAUGGUGCCCGGCUCUUCUGUACAAUGUUUUAUUAUUUAUUUAUUUAUUUUAUUAUACUUUAAGUUCUGGGAUACAUGUGCAGAAUGUGCAGGUUUGUUACAUAGGUAUACAUGUGCCAUGGUGGUUUGCUGCACCCAUCAUCUACAUUAGGUUUUUCUCCUAAUGCUAUCCCUCACCUACUCCCCACCCCCGACAAACCCUAGUGUGUGAUGUUCCCCUCCCUGUGUCCAUGUGUUUUCAUUGUUCAACUCCCAUCUGAGAAUCAGUGAUGAUUUUAGAGCUGUUAACUAAUUCUUUUUAGAUCAAUGUUGGUUUAUUGGAAGGGAAAAUUUUUCUCAAGGUUUCUUACACAACAAUGCUACUAAAUUGCAAUGUGGAUACUCCACGGGAUUUUAAAAAAGUUUUAGUGUGGUCUUGCUUGGAGGCAGGUGGGCAGACAGAAUGGCAUUUUCCAUUUCUUCCUGGAUUUAGGACCCUAAGAGAUUUUCCCAAGUCAUUUUCUGGAACUCACGAAGCUCCCUUGGCCUGCUGACUCCACCAUCAAUGAAACCAUGAGAUUCUUCCCUAGUGUUCCAAUCUCCUUUGAUUUUUCAGGCCUAUUUCAGCUCUCAUUUUCAUAUCCCAGCUUUGCCUUUACACUCGAUAUUUUAAAGAGCUUCAGAGUUGACCAAAAUUGUGUCCUAGUGCAUGGAGAAGUUAUUCCAUUCUCUCCAAAUUGUUAUCCUGGAUGAUUGGAUUUAACAACCUCUAGGAGGAUUUGUGGAGGUUUUAGUUUGAUUUCCCUGUGAUCAUUGAUGGUAUUUUUAUUUUCAUUUGCUAAGAAGCUUUCUGCAGUACAGGGAAUAGCUAAUCAUGCCAUUCCUAUCUUUGGCUCAUCUUAACUUCCUUCUUACUAAACAUCCACCUUUAAAUACUAUGAUCUAAGAAUCAUAAUUAUUCCUAUACAAUGUGCUAACCAAAUCACAGCACAAGUGAUAGAUGUGAUUUAAUAGGUAGUGCAUGCCAUCACAUGAAAUUCAGUGUUAGAUAUAACCAUAUCUAAUGCUGUCUUGUUCCUGUCUUGUAGUUCACCUAUUAAACCUACUAGGCUGACAGAGCACAAUCUUGGGGGAAGCAUGGAAAGAGAAGAGAAAGAAUUCUCCGUAGACAUGCAUGAACAUUCAUAGGAUAGGGAAAAAAAAAGGAGUUCUAUAAGCACUUUUCUAUAUUCCCUAAACUGUAAUAGGCUGAAUUUUUUGUGCCCCUUUAUUUUCUGUUGGGUGCAGGAAAAAAUAACUAUUCUACAGAUAGCUCACAGAAGAGUGGCCAACAACUACGGUUACAUAGCCUGCUUUUACACAAUUUUUUCCAGAACCCAUAACUUGAAUGAAAAGCUCUUUUUUUUUCUUUGCUCCACUUGUGAUGAGAAUAGUUUGUUUGACUCAUACCAAACCAAAUCAAGCAUUUCUGUGGGCACAAAGAGGAAUGUGGAGCAAAGAAAGAUUUUCUUCCUAAAAAAGAGUGUGUGCAUGGAAAACAAAAUUGCUUCAGAUUUCACAACAUCCUUUACCAUUAAACACUGAAGGCGGUUUCGGGUCAGUCCAAUUUCCUUUGCAGAUAUUUGACUUUAAAAAUCACAUAUUCAACUUUUAAAAAUGGAUUUGUGUGAAAUGAUAUAUAAAAAAAAUCUCAUGGUAUAUAAGUCAUGAUGAGUUUCAGCUUAUGUUUAACCUCUGCCUCUUCAUCUUUAAGAGAUGCAAAUUGCCUCCAGGCAAUAGUGGAAAUGUCUCGUAUAUCUUGUCCUGCUUCCUCCAAAUCAGCCCCCAAAGACGUUUACAUUAGGAACUCAGAGUGAUGCUGAAAUAAAUGAGUUUCUUCAAAAGGCUGACUGCCCCCUAUCUAGGAAAUUAAAAAUCACUGGAGAGAUUUUUUUUUUAAAAAGGGCAAUAACAGAUAAGUACAUAGUUCUUGCUUUCUCAGCCAGCCCUAUUAAUACUUUUUAGAAUCUCAAAUGACUGAUACUGUUAACUAUGUGGCUAAUUUUAAGAGGGAGAGUAAAACUUUUUCUAAACGACUCAAGUAUCAUACUCUCUCAGUUGUUCCAAGAUCUCAGAUUUGUGACUGUACUUAUUCAAAGAAUGUCAUGCAUUUGCUUUUCUCUUCAAGAAUGUAACAUUACAAAUGUCUUUUAAAUAUGAUUUGAUGUGAAGCUACAAUAAUUCUUUGCAUGCAUUUGAGAACUACAGAUUCUGGCAGUUGACUCAGAAGAGCUUCUCUGCUUCCUUAAAACAAUGAAAACAAUCUCACUUACCUUCUCCCAAGGCUGCUGUGAACACUAAAAUUGCGAAAAAUCAGAAAACUGAGGUAUAGAGUGAGUUCUGGAUGGUUCUCCGGGGCCCGUGGCCAUGCUGUACCUGGCAACAACCUCUGGGAAGUGAGAACAACAGGUAUCACCAUGAUUAUUACAAUUUUAUAGACAAGGAAAGCAACUCAACAUGGAGAAAUGACUUGUCUAACAUCACUGGGCAGAGUUAGUACCUGAAAGAACCAAGAUGCAAGUGCAAUGCCUUUGAUUCUAACCUCCAUGCCCUUUUAAUAAGGUUCCAUGAGAUUCCUUUAUAAACUGUAAAGUGCCCUAUAAAUAAGAGGUAUUACAUGAUCAGACCCCUUUGACCUUACUCCUAUCUGAGGCCAAACUAGGAAAAGUCAGAGAAAUAUUGGAAUGUUCCCAUUCCUGACUCGUCACUGGAUUUUUCAUAGGACAGUUCAGAGAGAACCAAAACAGAAAUGGCAGUGAAAUACCAGAUAUUUGGAGCAGAAAACUCAGCUCUGGGACAAAGGCUGGUCAUCCGCUGAGAAAAGAGGUGAUAAUUUGGGAGCUGGAAGAGCAAGGUCACAAGAAGGAAAGAUAGCUAAAGGAAUGAGAGACACUGGGAGGAAAGGAAGGGUGGCCAAGCUGGUACAUGGGCUGGUGCAGAAGAGUCUGACAGAUGGCUUUCAUCACUGAGUUCUUUUACAUGAUGGUUAGAAUCCUUAAAGUGAUGGCCUCCCAGGUGCUCUAUCUGACCCCAGGUGUGCUGGGGGAGCCUGCACAUAUCCCUUCUAUCUCACCGCUGGCCUUCAUGCUCUUUGUCACCAACCCUGGCACCUCUCUACCUGAGGGUCUUCUCUGGUGGGCAGAAUCCACUCUGUCUAAGCAUGGGUGGGUAGGAAGUGCCUGAGAAUUAAAAACCCUCUCUUUCACUGGAUGAUGAUGUGAGUUGGUGCAUAAAUACCCCAGCUCCCUCACCCGUCAGGGCCGUAAUGCUGAGCACAUGCUCUCCAUUGGCUUCCAGAGUUCCCUUUGGCAUUAAGGUCCAGGUAUUCACCAUGGUCAUGGUAGCCUGCUUGAUAAUGCUCCAUGUUUUGGUUAAAUUACCUCCCUGUCUGUUUUUUCUACUUCCCUUUUCCUGUUUCCUUCACCUCCCAAAUAAACUACUU
rnacentral:lncRNA from 1 species